UACGUAGGGUGCAAGCGUUAAUCGGAAUUACUGGGCGUAAAGCGUGCGUAGGCGGCUAUGCAAGUCAGAUGUGAAAGCCCCGGGCUUAACCUGGGAACGGCGUUUGAAACUGCAUGGCUAGAGUUCGGCAGGGGAAGAUGGAAUUCCAUGUGUAGCGGUGAAAUGCGUAGAUAUAUGGAAGAACACUAAUGGCGAAGGCAUUCUUCUGGGCCGAUACUGACGCUGAGUCACUAAAGCGUGGGGAGCAAACAGG
rnacentral:rRNA from 1 species